GAGGCACGAAGGCCCAGGUAGCGAUCGGGAUUAGAUACCCCGGUAGUCCUGGCAGUAAACGUUGCACGUUUGCUGUGGUAGGAUUCGACGCCUUCCGUACCGGAGCUAACUCGUUACACGUGGAGCCUGGGGAGUACGGUGGCAAGAUUAAGACUCAAAGAAAUUGCCGCGCGCCCGCUCAAGCGGUGGAGUAUGUGGCUUAAUUCGAUGCAACCCGAAGCACCUUACGCAGCCUUGGCAUGCAUUUCUAAACCGGUGAAAGCCGGCGAGUCUUCGGACAACUUGCACAGGUGCUGCAUGGUCGUCGUCAGCUCUGGUCGUGAGAUGUUUGGUUAAGUCCCGCAACGAGCCCAACCCCUGUGAGCUGUUGGUAUCCUUUUGGAGCUCUCUGGUCAGACCGGCCUGUCAACCGGGGAAAAAGGGGGGGGAGACCUCAUCUCCAUAUCCCUCUUCUGGCUGGGUCCCCCCCUGUUCUCACAAUGUGCCAGCACAAGGGCGAGCUGACAUCGCCGAGAGGCGGGCGAAUCCCAUAAAACUGGUCCCAGUUCGGAUUGGAG
rnacentral:rRNA from 1 species